UUGGUCUUUUAAAAAAUAAUCUGUUUAAUCAGAGAGUGAGUUGUAUUGGACUUAUAUAUAAAAUAUCUUUUAGCUAAUCCAAAAAGAACAUACAUGUAUUAUCAAUAGACAAACACCCGAACUAGAAUAGACCUAAAAAGAUGUGAUUUUAGUCAUAAUUGACUCCACACAAUAGUAAAAGCAAUAAAAUUAAAAACACUCUAGCACAGAAUAGUAAAGUAGCAAUAAUACAUGAAACUUUUGAAAACUAAAUAGUCAAGUAGCAAUUAUAGAUACAACUUUUGAAAACUAAAUAGUCAAGUAGCAAUUAUACAUAAAACUUUUGAAGACUAAAUAGUG